rnacentral:rRNA from 1 species
GAGUUUGAUCCUGGCUCAGGACGAACGCUGGCGGCGUGCUUAACACAUGCAAGUCGAACGGUGAAGCGCCUUCCUUUUGGUGGGUGUGGAUGAGUGGCGAACGGGUGAGUAACACGUGAGUAACCUGCCCCCUUCUUCUGGAUAACCGCAUGAAAGUGUGGCUAAUACGGGAUAUUCUGGGUCUGUCGCAUGGUGGGCCUGGGAAAGAUGCGCCUUUGGGUGUUUUUGGUGGGGGAUGGGCUCGCGGCCUAUCAGCUUGUUGGUGGGGUGAUGGCCUACCAAGGCGGUGACGGGUAGCCGGCCUGAGAGGGUGGACGGUCACACUGGGACUGAGACACGGCCCAGACUCCUACGGGAGGCAGCAGUGGGGAAUAUUGCACAAUGGGCGCAAGCCUGAUGCAGCGACGCCGCGUGAGGGAUGGAGGCCUUCGGGUUGUAAACCUCUUUCGCCAGUGAAGCAGGCCUGUCCCUUUUGUGGGUGGGUUGACGGUAGCUGGAUAAGAAGCGCCGGCUAACUACGUGCCAGCAGCCGCGGUAAUACGUAGGGCGCGAGCGUUGUCCGGAAUUAUUGGGCGUAAAGAGCUCGUAGGCGGCUGGUCGCGUCUGUCGUGAAAUCCUCUGGCUUAACUGGGGGCUUGCGGUGGGUACGGGCCGGCUUGAGUGCGGUAGGGGAGACUGGAACUCCUGGUGUAGCGGUGGAAUGCGCAGAUAUCAGGAAGAACACCGGUGGCGAAGGCGGGUCUCUGGGCCGUUACUGACGCUGAGGAGCGAAAGCGUGGGGAGCGAACAGGAUUAGAUACCCUGGUAGUCCACGCCGUAAACGUUGGGCACUAGGUGUGGGGGGCCUUUUCCGGGUCUUCCGCGCCGUAGCUAACGCAUUAAGUGCCCCGCCUGGGGAGUACGGCCGCAAGGCUAAAACUCAAAGGAAUUGACGGGGGCCCGCACAAGCGGCGGAGCAUGCGGAUUAAUUCGAUGCAACGCGAAGAACCUUACCAAGGCUUGACAUGUGCCGGUCGGCUCCGGAGACGGGGUUUCCUCCUUGUGGGGCCGGUUCACAGGUGGUGCAUGGUUGUCGUCAGCUCGUGUCGUGAGAUGUUGGGUUAAGUCCCGCAACGAGCGCAACCCUUGUCCCGUGUUGCCAGCACGUUGUGGUGGGGACUCGCGGGAGACUGCCGGGGUCAACUCGGAGGAAGGUGGGGAUGACGUCAAAUCAUCAUGCCCCUUAUGUCUUGGGCUUCACGCAUGCUACAAUGGCCGGUACAGAGGGCUGCGAUACCGUGAGGUGGAGCGAAUCCCUUAAAGCCGGUCUCAGUUCGGAUCGGUGUCUGCAACUCGACACCGUGAAGUUGGAGUCGCUAGUAAUCGCAGAUCAGCAACGCUGCGGUGAAUACGUUCUCGGGCCUUGCACACACCGCCCGUC